UUCAGAUGUCUUGCAUAACAGGAGGGUCGGGGUCCUGUAAUAACCAGUGGUCCAUUGUGUUCCUUUGAUGUUGCAACUAGGACUCAGUUCACUUGCUCGUCCAACAGAAAAUUAUGUAUUUACCUGCUUGUAUGAUCGAGUAUGUUGUUUUGUUACUUGAUCAUGUCUGCCUGUUAGUGAGUUGGUUAAUCUGGUGGCUCUUUCAAGUGUCAUUUUGUUCUCUCAGCUAUCUCGAUUGCUUUGUCUGGAAAAUUUUUUCUGAUUGAUCGAGCCUCUUCUAAUAUGGCCUUCAGUUCCUGAGGCCAUCUGUUCUGCUACUGCUUUUUGUGCUUGUUGAUCAAGCAAUAUGAGCAUGACAACUACCGCAUCUACUGAUCAUGCUAUACACUUGAUGAUCCAACUGCUAGUUUUUGAAAUUAGUGUUCAAACUCCAAUUGCUCUCUCUCAUAGCAUCUUGAGUUAGAAAGGGAGUGUGAAAGGAAAGUAUAUAUGCUUA
rnacentral:lncRNA from 1 species